rnacentral:lncRNA from 1 species
UAUAAGUUUUUUAUUUUAGUAAUUUUUAAUAUAUCAGAUUAUUGCACAAUGAUAUUUGGUGAAAGUUUCAAUCUUGAAAGUUAUAGAUAAAAUAACUGUGCAAUUAUUUUAUUAUAACUUGUUGUAAUUAUUUCAAACCCUAACAAAAGGAAGAAACCCUAACUCAGUAAUAACAAAAGAAAGGCUGGAAAUUUGCUAAGCAGUUCAAAAUUGGUCUGUUGAAGAUUGAUACAUGAUGAUUAAAAUUGUCAUAUUAUUUUUAUAUUAUUCUGUUAUUUUAAAAAUCCAUCAUUUUUCUUCAAUUUUUUGAAUUUUACUGUACAAUUUCUUUUAAUUUUGAAUUGUGUUAUACAGUCACAUUAUGCAAUGUUUUUUGAUUAAUUAAAAGUACCUUUUGAUGAUACAUGAAUUCUCAGUGACAAAAAUCAGAAAACCAACUAUUUUUUCUUUAAAUCAAAGUAAAAUACAAGCACAAUCAAUAGGAUACAGAUAUUUAAUAAAUGCAGUUGAAAUACACAAAUGUUGUUAUAAACGAAAAAUGCUUUUGGCUUAAUGAGGCCAUUGUCAGUUCAUUAAACACACAAAGAACAAGCUAUUAUUCUUUUUGCUCAGUGAUAAACCCAUUCUCUCUAUUAUGGAGGAAUGCAAUCAGUAUAUACAUAGAAAGGCUAAAUGCCGGCAUAAAACUAAAGAAUUUUACAUUGGUUAUGAUCUGGUGUAUAAUAUCCAAGAGGUAAUCCUGAUAGAUAAUAAAUUUUGGAAAGCAUUUUAUAGCUCAGCAAUAUUGAACAUAUUAGAAAUAAAGUUAUUACCUCAAAUAUACAUAUGAUUUCCAAAUAAUCAUUGCAUCUUAAUGUAGAAUGAUACAUAAAGUCAAGAAUGUUAUCAGUUUCCUGGAAAAAAAGCAAGUUAGAACAUUGCCUUGGCUUAGCAACAGUCAAGACUUUAAUUCCUUUGGAAAAUUUAAUUUUUAUUAAUGAAAAUGAUUCAAGUUACAUGAUUACCAAGCCAGAACUUAUAAAAAGGUAAAUUUAUAUAUGGUGUAAUGAUAAGGUGAAAUUUUUGUAUAAAAAUUUAAGAAGUAUGCUGAAGAGAAUAAAUUUGUUAAUUAUGAAUAUAAUGAGACUAAUUAUGAAUAUUACUCUCAUUAAUAAUUUAUUUAUAAUUUUAUCACUAUUUAAAUGGAUAAAAACUGUAGAAAUGUCUUUUAUCCUAAUAAUUUGGAUAUGGAAAUUUAGGAAAUUUAAUUCUGAAAAGAUAUUCUUUUUUGAAGUUCUUUAAUAAUGAUUGUUUUCAAUGUUAUGAACAUUGUAACAAUUUUGAGCUAGUAUAUGGAAUAAUACAAUUAUAAUAUGAAAUCUCUACCCAUUGUCACAAUAAAGUUGUGAAAAUGUAUUUCAUAUUUUCUGAAUUAAGGAAAAAAAUCUCAUUAAUAUAGAUCUUUUUGAGGCAAAGUUGUAUAUAUAUAUUUUUCUUUUCUAUGAGGUUUUAUAUUGCUUUCCAAAGUUAUUAAAUGACACAGCAUUUCAGUAGCCAUCAUUAGUUACCCAUGCCUUUGAUGGAGUCAGCAAUCAGAUGAAAAAUGGGGUUCAAUGAGCUGGGCCAGAACCCUUCUAAAAAAUUUUCGAAGAUAUGGAAUCUGUGAAUUAAACUAUUUGGCCAAUGUAAAACUUAUCAAAGUUGAAUGGCUUAACAGUACAGCAGUGUAAAGUAUUAGCGAAGAUAAACUUGUGCAUGAAAGUAUAUAUACUGUAUUGUAUAUUUUUAAACUGAUUUAUUGUUGAUUGCUGACAAUGAAAAACUGCAUCAGGUUAAUAGGAAUUUUGACCUAUUUAGCCUGUUGCAUUGAGGAACCAGGUCUCAAAUUCAACCUAUCUUUAUGAAAAUAUGCAUUUAAGUUUCAUAUAAGUUGCCCAUCUGAAUCUUAUACAAAAUCAAUAUUUCAUCUGAGUUUUAAGUUAUUAUUAAAUAAUUGCAUUGUUGUUG